rnacentral:rRNA from 1 species
UGAGGGAAUAUUGGGUCAAUGGGGCGAGAGCCUGAACCAGCCAAGUCGCGUGAGGGAUGACGGCCCUACGGGUUGUAAACCUCUUUUAUAAGGGAAUAAAGGACAUCACGCGUGGUGUUUUGCAUGUACCUUAUGAAUAAGCAUCGGCUAACUCCGUGCCAGCAGCCGCGGUAAUACGGAAGGUCCGGGCGUUAUCCGGAUUUAUUGGGUUUAAAGGGAGCGUAGGCCGGAGAUUAAGCGUGUUGUGAAAUGUAGACGCUCAACGUCUGCACUGCAGCGCGAACUGGUUUCCUUGAGUACGCACAAAGUGGGCGGAAUUCGUGGUGUAGCGGUGAAAUGCUUAGAUAUCACGAAGAACUCCGAUUGCGAAGGCAGCUCACUGGAGCGCAACUGACGCUGAAGCUCGAAAGUGCGGGUAUCG